rnacentral:lncRNA from 1 species
UUUGAGCCUCCUGGCAGUUUGGGGGAAUGAAACUGUACAGUAGAGGCAGAUGGAGUUAGUGGGAGCUUCAGCUGAUUAGCUACACGAGUCCAUGUGACCAGAUGGGAGGAAUUCAAGGAUGUCAGAGGACCUGGCCGAUGUCACUGCAAAGCCAUUCUCUGUCACUGGUCACAGUGGAAGUUCCUAAUGACAGAAAAAAAGGCAAAUGUCACAGCUAUAUCCUCAGGAAGGGCAAGAAGGAAGACUGGGAAACUAGAGGCUGAUCAACAACACCAUUGGUCCAUGAGAAGAUGUGUGUGCAGCCAUACCCAUGCAUUUUGGAGACAUAACCAUGUUGAGACCUAUGUUUUCCUCCUUCUGUGAUUCUGAAGAUCUUCUACAGCAUCACUUCAAGGUUUUACACCUGAAACGGGUUCAUUUUCACUUGUCUGAUGCACAUUUCCAGCCAGCAGCCGGGAGACCGAAGAGGAUUCAAUCCGCAAUUGUUCUGAAAGCACACAAACUGAAUAAAUGUUUAUAACCCUAAAUGGUGUCACCGCAGCAGAUGAAUGGCAGCAGAACAAUGGGCACCGAUGCACUCUUCAGGCCGCAGCCAAGUUCCCUAGCAACUACAGAGGAGCUGUGCAGCCUGCAGAGGUACUGUGAGUGCCAGCAGGCCGUUAUCUGAGAAAUGACUGAGAAAUGAUCUUAGUGCCGUAUUUCAUUGAGGAGAUACCAUUAAUCAAUUGCCUGUUUGUAAUUCACGGAUACCACUUUUUCCCUUUGGGUAAACUAUUAGGUAAGAAUUCCUCUGGCUAGCGAUUUCAUUGUUAUUUAGUUUCAUGUAUGUGUUAGCAUUAAUUACAUAGGUUUAAAGUUGUUUGAGUUCCAAGGAAAUAGCACCAGGUAGCUGCUAUGCUGUAAGAAAAGCACACCGAGCUGAAGUUUGACACUAAGCUAAACUGAUGUAAUGGCUGCUAAAAGCUUGAGUGCCAAUUGCUUCCUUGGUUUAGAACUGUGUUUUGAAACACGUAGAUAGGUACAAGGCAAAAGGGAAAAAGAAAAGCAAUGGCUUUAUCGAAGAGAUAUUGUUAUUUAUUAAAUCAGUUAAUCAUACGUUGCCAGCCUAAUUAAUAAUUGCUGGUGCAAGGAAUGCCACAGAUUAGGCUACACUGAUACCAUGUGCUCCAAACAGAUGAUAGAAAGUUGUACUCUGACCUUCCCAUGUGUCUGACCGCAACAGAGAACAGGUCACCCCAUCUUCUAUAACACUGCGCUCUCUGCUGCUCUGUUACUCAUUGUGUCAGGGGAGGGGCAGCUGGGGGUUAGGGACAGGGUCUGCACCAGAGGGGGGUGGGCAUGGAACGGGCUGCCCAGGGCUGUGGGCACUGCCCCCAUUGCUGGAGUUCAGAGAGCAUCUGGACAGUGCUCUCAGAUGUAGGGUCUGAUUUUGGGUGGUGCUGUGUGGAGAAUGGAGUUGGACUCGAUGAUCCUUGUGGGUCCUGUCCAGCUUGGGAUAUUCUGUGCUUCUAUAAUUCCACGAUUCUAUGAACCUAGUGUUUCAGCACAGCUGGAAGAAUUCAACUCUUCAACUUCAGAAGGUUUGCUUGGAAGCAGGGAAGCAGUGGGCAAUGCCACAUCACACCAGUCACUUGCCACAGAAACCUCCUAACUGCUGUCUUCUGUAUCUGCACAAGCUGUCAUGCUUAUUGUUGCACCAGGAGAGAUCUUGCACAGCAGCAGUGGAGCUGGGGGAAGGCUGUAUCUCCCCAGGCUAAUCUGGUUAACCAUGAAAGCUGUCAGGACUUGUUCACCCGCAGCAAAAGACUCAUCCUGGUCACUAUAAAAGAACAAAACUGCCAUGCAGCAAGAGCUCCCCACUCAAGCUUGUGGCUCACCCUAAAAUGCAGCUGAAAGCACUCUCUCGUGCAGAGCCCAACCCCUAAAUCUCCAUCACAUGGGAAAGUUCCCCACAGCUGUGACUGUUACAGGCUUCCCUGUUGCUUCACGUGUCCUUUCCAACACUUGCUGAACCAUCAUAAGCUGUUGUUUCAGAUCACACGCACACAUGGCUUUACAAAAGGCAAAGCAUCUCUUUAAACAAUAAGCUUUUCAUAGAACCAUAGAAACAUAGAAUGGCUUGCGUUAGAAGAGACUUCAAAGGUCAUCUGAUUCCAACCCACCAGCUCAGGCUGCCCAGGGCCCAUUCCAACCUGGCCUUGAGCACCUCCAGGGAUGGGGCACCACAGCUUCUCUGGGCAGCUGUGCCAGCGCUUCACUGCCCUCUGAGUAAAAAGUUUCCCCCUAAUAUCCCACCUAAAUCUCCCCUCUUUUAGUUUAAAGCCAUUCCUGCUUGUCCUAUCACUAUAAGACCAUGUAAAAAAUUGGUCUCCCUUCUGCUAAUAAACUUCUUCUAAGCACGGCAAGGCCACUAUCAGGUCUCUCUGGAGCUUUCUCUUCUCCAGGCAGCUCAAGCCCAGUUCCCUCAGCCUGUCUUCACAGGAGAGGUGCUCCAACCCUCUGAUCAUCUUCCUGCUGUUGUCUGGACCCACUCCAACAUCUCCACAUCCCUUCUACGCUGGGGACCCCAGGCCUGGACGCAGUACUCCAAGUGGAGCCUCACGAGGGCAGAGCAAAGAGGGACAUUCACUUCCCUCCCCCCCGCUGGCCACCCCUUCUUUUGCCGCAGCCCAGUGUACAAUGAGGUAACCCUUCCCUGCGAGCUCCCUCGGCUACGCCCGACACCUGGGCCAAGGGAGGCGCCCUUCCCGAGGGGCCACCUGCGCCCAUCCGGGGCCGGCGCGAUGCGGCCGGAAGGGGGCGCCGCCGUCCCGCCUGUAGAACCGGAGCAGAACAUGGCGAGUAGCCCGGCGCUUCGCCAGGGCCCCGGGCAGGGGGAGGGCGACCGUGGCUCUCUUUCGCGGCUGCCCUCCGCAGCAGAAGCCAACAGAACCGUGUGGGUGUGGCACUGAGGGACGUGGUCAGUGGGCAUGGCGGGGAUGGGAUGACACUUGGGCUAGGUGACCUUAGAUGUCUCUUCCAACCUUAAUGAAUCUGUGAUUCUAUAUUUGAGAAGUUAAAAACAGUUGAAACAAGGAUUGUGGGAUUGUGGAUGUUACCUGCUUUCACCGUUCCUUUGUCGUUAAAUGUCUGGCAUUCACAUAUUAGUAUGUGGCUGGCUAACGAGGAAGUGAAAUAUUAAUUUCUCCUCAGUCAGGAAGCUCCUGGAUGGAAGUUCACCUCAGUCAAGUCUCACUUUGAGAGCUUAAUUCUGAUCUGUCCAGCUUUGUGAUUACUUGCUCUCAUACUAUGCAUUGGAGUCACACACUGCUUUGCUAUAGGACUGAAAGAGUUCAAAUUUUAAGGUAGUUUUCAAAUCAAAUUCAUGGUUUGGGUUGAAAGGGAGCUCACAGCCCACCCACCCCAACCUGUGCCGUGGGCAGGGCUGCCCCCCACCAGCUCAGGCUGCCCAGGGCCCCAUCCAACCUGGCCUUGAGAGCCUCCAGGGAUGGGGCACCACAGCUUCUCUGGGCAGCUGUGCCAGCGCCUCACCGCCCUCUCAGCAAAAAGUUUCCACCAACAUCUAAUCUAAAUGUGGCACUUCAGUGGAUUGUGUUAAAUAAAUACUUAAAUAAAUAAAAUUCCAAACUCGUUAAUGGCCACUCUUCUAUGUCUAGACCAGUCUGUGGCCUUACUCUCUCCACCUAGUCCUGUUCGUCCACUUUCUAACCUGGGAUAUUGCUUCCUGAAUUCUCAGCUGUAAUCUGCAGGCCCUCUCUGGACAGCAUGUCUCUGCAGUGGUUGUUUAUAUGGUGUCCUCUGUAGUGGUGUUCUUUCCUAAAGGUUCAUGGUGUAGUAAUAAAUUCUUUGAAAGACGCCGUCAGAGGAGGUCAUGGGAGCAAAGACACACGCAAGGAAUUGAUGGCACUUCAGCAUUUUGCUAGUAAAGACACAAGCUGUCCUGUAGGAACAGGAAAGCUAUUGUUGGACUGAAUCCGCCUGUCUUCCUCUGGUGCCAGCACUCCACAAAGCGUGCAUUUUGUGACUGUAAUGCUAUUCAGCCUCGCAAAAGGUACAGCCUGGGACCAAUCGGAGAACAUGAUUAAAUGCUCAGCUUCCAUCCCUCAUAUAAAGGUCGUGUAUUUGUAUUCCAGCUAAGUCAGCCGUCAGCGUUUGUAAAGUGUCUGAUGUUCUCUUAUUGCUGUGCAAACAAUGGCAAAACCAAAACAGAAUUAAAUUUCAAUUAAUCUGAGACAUUCAUAACAGGCAUUAGAACAAUAAGCAUGUUUUGUUAUUAACCUUCCUCCUUCAUAUGAGAUUUUGACCUCUUUAUACUAAUCUGAUUUUAUUUGUCAAAUUAACUGUAGAAUUCAAUAUUAGUAGUCCCAGACAAUGACUCAAGCUUCAUCACCUCCUAUUCCCUCUUUGUGGGAAAAAGAAGGUAAUUAUUACUUUUAAAAAUAAUAACAACCUUGGAGUGAAGUUUCAUUUCUUAUUUCUUAAUGACGAGACCCUUUUUUUCUCUUGCUGUUUUUUAACCUUUAGAAUGGAUUUUCCUUUUCAAACUCUGUUUUUUUUUUUUUUUCUGAGCAUUUUUGAGGUCUGGAAACAUUUCUUUUUUCGUAAUGGAACCUGAGAUUCCUGACUAAUGACUUGCCUUUGGGAGCUGAGAUUUUAAUUAAAAAAGAAAAAAAAAAAAAAACCACCCAAAGUGGGGCAGUUGUGAUAAAAUCAUAAGAAUUGGCAAUAUAUUUAUGUGUCUACGCCAGGUAGGGAAGCAUUGUGAAGGAGAAGAAAACUGCCUGACUGUAAGCAGACCUUCUUGAUGAUGAAACCCUGCAGGGCUAUGGCCAGCUAUGGCACCUGUAAGACAUAGAGGGGUGGUUACAGAGCAAGUGCAGGAGAGUGAUAUCUUCAGCCACGAGGACUGCUUUGUAUCAUGUUCUUCACUGAGAUAAACAUCUCCUCCUAGCAGCUCCUUAUCUGCUGAUAAUCUUGCCAUAUCCCAGUCCACAUCUGAAGUGCAUGCACGUUUUGGGGCAAGGGUAGUGCUGGCUGGGACUCUGCCCAGUUCCAAGUAGGUACAAGAGGCUCGGGGCCAACUGUUUAUUGGGCUGUACUAUUUAUACAGUAAUUCUCGACUUGCUUGGAACAAGGGACAGAUCAAGGCUUAAUCCCCUUUCCCGGACAACCCUAUUACCUAACACCAAGAGUGGUAGAAAAGUCCUAAUCUUCAGAGGGAGAGGGACAGUAAAAGUUCCUCUAUCAGAGAUUGUUAAGAUAGCCCAGAACAAAGCCUUAGAGAGCUAUUGGCUACAGUGCGCCUGAAAAGGAGAUAACCCAGCAGAUGUCUGGGUUUGCAUUGCGGUGUAAUUACAGGUGAGCUUUAAAGUCACUGGGAAUCAGCUGACUGUUCUGGGAAGAACAGCAGCGGUAUGUUGCUGCUGUGCCUGUUUCAGCACAAAAGCACACAUCUCAUGAACAGGCACG